rnacentral:rRNA from 1 species
CAGCAGCGGUAAUACAGAGGGUGCGAGCGUUAAUCGGAUUUACUGGGCGUAAAGCGUGCGUAGGCGGCUUCUUAAGUCGGAUGUGAAAUCCCUGAGCUUAACUUAGGAAUUGCAUUCGAUACUGGGAAGCUAGAGUAUGGGAGAGGAUGGUAGAAUUCCAGGUGUAGCGGUGAAAUGCGUAGAGAUCUGGAGGAAUACCGAUGGCGAAGGCAGCCAUCUGGCCUAAUACUGACGCUGAGGUACGAAAGCAUGGGGAGCAAACAGGAUUAGAUACCCCUGUAGUCCCUGUCUCUUAUACACA